rnacentral:rRNA from 1 species
UACCAGCACCCCGAGUGGUCGGGACGAUUAUUGGGCCUAAAGCAUCCGUAGCCGGUCAUGCAAGUCCUCCGUUAAAUCCACCUGCUUAACAGAUGGGCUGCGGAGGAUGCUACAAGGCUAGGAGGCGGAAGAGGCAAGCGGUACUCAGUGGGUAGGGGUAAAAUCCUCUGAUCCAUUGAAGACCACCAGUGGCGAAGGCGGCUUGCCAAUACGCGCUCGACGGUGAGGGAUGAAAGCUGGGGGAGCAAACCGG